rnacentral:lncRNA from 1 species
CAGACAAUCCGCGUUUCCUUAAGCUUGUUUGAAACCAACCCUUAUAGGCUUAUAUAAUCAUAUGAAUUGAAUUGAAUUUAGGGUUAGGGUUUGGGUUAAGGUAACGUUCUAACUCGUACGAGAGCAGAAUAGAGCCUCCUAUACUAUCAUGGAGAGUCUAGUUGCUGAGCUCACCUCAGCUGAAGAUCUUCAGGACCAGCUAAUAAAGAUGACUGUACGGCGAGAUGAGCUCUACUCCUGGUUUCGGGAGAUCAGGGAAGCCAUAAACGCCGUUGAUCUCGAGAAAUACAAACUGAGAAAGGAGGUGAUUCGCCUAAUAGAAGAAACGACCUCUCCAAAUAUCCCGCUGAUUGUCUACGACAGUACAAACAACGACAACAACAUUGUUAAUCCUUACCCAAGGUCAG